rnacentral:rRNA from 1 species
GAUGAACGCUGGCGGCGUGCCUAAUACAUGCAAGUCGAGCGAACAGACGAGGAGCUUGCUCCUCUGACGUUAGCGGCGGACGGGUGAGUAACACGUGGAUAACCUACCUAUAAGACUGGGAUAACUUCGGGAAACCGGAGCUAAUACCGUAUAAUAUAUUGAACCGCAUGGGUCAAUAGUGAAAGACGGUUUUGCUGUCACUUAUAGAUGGAUCCGCGCCGCAUUAGCUAGUUGGUAAGGUAACGGCUUACCAAGGCAACGAUGCGUAGCCGACCUGAGAGGGUGAUCGGCCACACUGGAACUGAGACACGGUCCAGACUCCUACGGGAGGCAGCAGUAGGGAAUCUUCCGCAAUGGGCGAAAGCCUGACGGAGCAACGCCGCGUGAGUGAUGAAGGUCUUCGGAUCGUAAAACUCUGUUAUUAGGGAAGAACAAAUGUGUAAGUAACUAUGCACGUAUUGACGGUACCUAAUCAGAAAGCCACGGCUAACUACGUG